CUUCACUGCCUCUUCACCCCCACACGCAAUCUCUCCUCUCCUCGUUUCUCUCCUCCGCCUCUUCCCCGUGGGGGCCUUGCGGCUGCAGUGAGCUGAGAUUUAAGGGGGCGAGCAGGUUGGGUGGCCAACCGAUUCUUCGCCGGAUUUGGAGCCCAGGGACGCGCGAAGGACCGGCCUGGUGUUGACGGGGCGAUGAAGUGGUCGGAUGCGCUGGAUUCGCGGCCAAUCAGUCUGCAACGACGGCAAGACGACGGAGAUCGGGUAAGACCGGUGCUAAAGGUGCGCCGCCUUCCCCAUGCCGCCUUCCUGGCUUCCCCCUCGCCUGCCCGCCAUGUCCUCCCCGUCCCAGCCUCGACCACGUCAUCCCCGCGGAGGAGCUCGGCCUCUGCAGCAGCGCCCCCCUGGCCGCCCGUUUGUGGAACGGGAAUGCCACAUUGAUUUGUUUCUUGUCAUCUCCAGAUGGGUUUGUGGUACCUGCAAUUUAUACUGGAAUUUAAUCUUGAGCUCAGGAUUCCAUGCCCUUUUGUCUUGAGCUGAUUUGCUGCUUAUAAUAUCUGAUGGGUCAUGCAUUCUUUUGGUUCUGAAAUUUAUAUUGUUUUAUUUAUCCCGAGUUUAGAAGCCCUGACUGACACUAGGUGGUCCAGUAUCCAGUGAGUUUCCCUUCUGUGUGUAAUUUUCCAUCCACAUGGUUUGCAGUUUUGUAGUCAACCAAUCAGUACCGGCAUCAAAAUAUUGAAAUGAUUAGAUGUGGAGUACCUGAUCUGCUCUCAUAAUAACGCAGUCCCUUAUUACUAGCUUUAUAAGAGAGGAAUUAGCCCUAUUCUUCUUUGCUACAAAUAACGUGGAUACAGAAGACUGAAGUAGAACUAGGGCAUCAUGCACGGGAAAUUCAAAUAGUGCACUGGAACCAAACCUUUAGCUCUUGGGUCUUGUUGAUUCAGUGCAAGAACAUAUUUUUUAGCUGGAUGUUUCACUCAUUUGAAUUUCUAUUGUGUUCUUCAGUAUUGUUAGAUGUCAAGUAUACAAUGAUACACUUAAUCUUGAUUUAAUUUUGAUCAUAAAGAGUUUAGCAUAGUUUUGUUGGACCAAGACCAUCCUUUGUGUAUAUCCGUGAUCUGUACCAAGCAACAUAGCUGCCAGAUGAAAUGUUCCUUUCUGAUGAACAUAAGUGUUCCAAUCUCUUCUCUACCACUAACAUAUUUACUUAUUCUUAUGAUGUUGUAAACUUGACUACUUAAGUGUGGAUUGUUUAUGCAGGAUUAUAGCACGGAAGAAAGGUCAAGAGAAAUGGAUUUAUUAAGACUCUUUCCUUACUGGCUUGAUACUAAUCAAUGGAAUGCAAUACUGAACGAUGUUAACAUUCCCUCUUUGUUUAUUCUGACUGGUCCAACUGGUGGAGGUAAAUCCAGCAUGUUGUGUUUAGUCUACACCGCUGCAUUGCUUGGAAUAUGUGGGCUGAUGGUGCCAGCUGCUUCAUCUGUCAUCCCACACUUAAAUUCCAUCAUGUUGCAUAUGAAGGCCUAUGCUACUUGAGCUGAUGGGAAAAGUUCAUUUCAGGUGCCAAUUUUGUAGCUUUGCAUUUCUUUUCUGCAAAAUCUGUGUCUUGUAUUCCCAGGAGCACAUGUGCUACACUAUCUUAUAAUGUUUAGAUUUUCUGGAUCAUGGAGUCAAGCCUGAUAAAAAAUAUUUUUUGAUGUUAUUUAAUUUUGAUGUCGAGCUUUUCAAUAUCACGGGAAAGAGUCGAGAUGCUAGAAACUAUACUGGCAUGGGGCUUGGUGGUACAGUUCCCUGACCUUCCUGUCAGGAUAUGAAACAACCUUCAAUUUACAGGAUCUGAAAUAGCUCGGUGAUCUUUCUUCCCACAUCAUCUCAGAAUUCUGUAUGUAGUCCUCUAAGGCAAAAGUGAAAUUUUCAUGUCUUGGUACAUUUUAAUUUCAGAGAACUCGGCAUUCAGACCUCGCUGGCUGCAGCUAGAUGAGCUUGCUGGUAUUUUAUUAUCUGGUCAUAAGCAGAUUUGUUAUCUUCAAGUAAAGCUAAAUAAGAUUUGCAGGGACCUGUGCUAUUUGAAGAUACAAGUGGCCUUCUUUGUUACUUAUGUUUUCAUUUUUUUAUAAACUAUUUGCAAUUCCAUCUGCUUCUCAUAGUUUCUGCAAUCUUCAAAUUCAACUUAUGUUAUAGAGGCUUCAGUUCUUAACAUAUGGUACUUGAUUGAUCAUCAUGUAUAUUGUAUAAACAUAAAAUGAUGCACUAAAUGCACUAUGCUCUUGCAUAUUGUUGAUGUUAAUAUUUAAUUAUGAUCAAGAAUAGUUGGCAUGA